rnacentral:rRNA from 1 species
AGGACGAACGCUGGCGGCGUGCCUAAUACAUGCAAGUCGAACGGUCUUUCUAUGGAAGCUUGCUUCCACUGAGAAGAUAGUGGCGAACGGGUGAGUAACACGUGGGUAACCUGCCCAUAAGAGGGGGAUAACAUCCGGAAACGGGUGCUAAUACCGCAUAGUUUUUCUUGAUCGCAUGAUUGAGAAAGGAAAGACGGCCUUUGUGCUGUCGCUUAUGGAUGGACCCGCGGCGUAUUAGUUAGUUGGUGAGGUAACGGCUCACCAAGACGAUGAUACGUAGCCGACCUGAGAGGGUGAUCGGCCACAUUGGGACUGAGACACGGCCCAAACUCCUACGGGAGGCAGCAGUAGGGAAUCUUCCGCAAUGGACGAAAGUCUGACGGAGCAACGCCGCGUGAGUGAAGAAAGGUUUUCGGAUCGUAAAACUCUGUUGUCAGAGAAGAACAAGUUGGAGAGUAACUGCUCCAGCCUUGACGGUAUCUGACCAGAAAGCCACGGCUAACUACGUGCCAGCCGCGGC